GCAGCAGCGGCGGUGGGAGUGUUGUUCGGAGAUCGCGAUUAGCGGAGGUCGCCGGCGGUACGACGGCGGAAUGUGCGGCGGUGGCGUGUUGUUGUCCUUGCGGGAUAGCGAAUUUGUUGGUUCUAGCGGUGUAUAAGGUUCCGGCUGGACUUUGUAGAAAGGCUUUGAGGAAAAAUCGCCGGGAUCGGUUGAUGAAAAAGGGGCUUUUGCCGGCGACGGGAAGUGGACAUUGUAGCUGUGAUGAAAUGGAGCUUCAUGCUUACCAGAUUUCUAGUCCGAUUGCGAUGGUCGGCGCCGGCGCCGGAAACCUAGCAACCGAUAAGGAUGCUUUGGAGCUGGAGAAGGAAA
rnacentral:misc_RNA from 1 species